rnacentral:rRNA from 1 species
AUUGAACGCUGGCGGCAUGCUUUACACAUGCAAGUCGAACGGCAGCGCGGGCUUCGGCCUGGCGGCGAGUGGCGAACGGGUGAGUAAUGCAUCGGAACGUACCCAGUAGUGGGGGAUAGCCCGGCGAAAGCCGGAUUAAUACCGCAUACGACCUGAGGGUGAAAGCGGGGGACCGAAAGGCCUCGCGCUAUUGGAGCGGCCGAUGUCGGAUUAGCUAGUUGGUGGGGUAAAGGCUUACCAAGGCGACGAUCCGUAGCUGGUCUGAGAGGACGACCAGCCACACUGGGACUGAGACACGGCCCAGACUCCUACGGGAGGCAGCAGUGGGGAAUUUUGGACAAUGGGGGCAACCCUGAUCCAGCCAUGCCGCGUGCGGGAAGAAGGCCUUCGGGUUGUAAACCGCUUUUGUUCGGGAAGAAAUCCUCUGGGCUAAUACCCCGGGGGGAUGACGGUACCGGAAGAAUAAGCACCGGCUAACUACGUG